rnacentral:rRNA from 1 species
UGCAAGUCGAACGGUGAAGCCAAGCUUGCUUGGUGGAUCAGUGGCGAACGGGUGAGUAACACGUGAGCAACCUGCCCUGGACUCUGGGAUAAGCGCUGGAAACGGCGUCUAAUACCGGAUACGAGACGCAACCGCAUGGUUAGUGUUUGGAAAGAUUUUUCGGUCUGGGAUGGGCUCGCGGCCUAUCAGCUUGUUGGUGAGGUAAUGGCUCACCAAGGCGUCGACGGGUAGCCGGCCUGAGAGGGUGACCGGCCACACUGGGACUGAGACACGGCCCAGACUCCUACGGGAGGCAGCAGUGGGGAAUAUUGCACAAUGGGCGAAAGCCUGAUGCAGCAACGCCGCGUGAGGGACGACGGCCUUCGGGUUGUAAACCUCUUUUAGCGAGGAAGAAGCGAAAGUGACGGUACUCGCAGAAAAAGCGCCGGCUAACUACGUGCCAGCAGCCGCGGUAAUACGUAGGGCGCAAGCGUUAUCCGGAAUUAUUGGGCGUAAAGAGCUCGUAGGCGGUUUGUCGCGUCUGCUGUGAAAACUGGGGGCUCAACCCCCAGCCUGCAGUGGGUACGGGCAGACUAGAGUGCGGUAGGGGAGAUUGGAAUUCCUGGUGUAGCGGUGGAAUGCGCAGAUAUCAGGAGGAACACCGAUGGCGAAGGCAGAUCUCUGGGCCGUAACUGACGCUGAGGAGCGAAAGGGUGGGGAGCAAACAGGCUUAGAUACCCUGGUAGUCCACCCCGUAAACGUUGGGAACUAGUUGUGGGGUCCAUUCCACGGAUUCCGUGACGCAGCUAACGCAUUAAGUUCCCCGCCUGGGGAGUACGGCCGCAAGGCUAAAACUCAAAGGAAUUGACGGGGACCCGCACAAGCGGCGGAGCAUGCGGAUUAAUUCGAUGCAACGCGAAGAACCUUACCAAGGCUUGACAUAUACGAGAACGGGCUAGAAAUAGUCAACUCUUUGGACACUCGUAAACAGGUGGUGCAUGGUUGUCGUCAGCUCGUGUCGUGAGAUGUUGGGUUAAGUCCCGCAACG